rnacentral:rRNA from 1 species
GAUGAACGCUGGCGGCGUGCCUAACACAUGCAAGUCGAGCGAUUCUCUUCGGAGAAGAGCGGCGGACGGGCGAGUAACGCGUGGGUAACCUGCCCUGUACACACGGAUAACAUACCGAAAGGUAUGCUAAUACGAGAUAAUAUACUUUUAUCACAUGGUAGAAGUAUCAAAGCUUUUGCGGUACAGGAUGGACCCGCGUCUGAUUAGCUAGUUGGUAAGGUAACGGCUUACCAAGGCGACGAUCAGUAGCCGACCUGAGGGGGUGAUCGGCCACAUUGGAACUGAGACACGGUCCAAACUCCUACGGGAGGCAGCAGUGGGGAAUAUUGCACAAUGGGCGAAAGCCUGAUGCAGCAACGCCGCGUGAGUGAUGAAGGCCUUCGGGUCGUAAAGCUCUGUCCUCAAGGAAGAUAAUGACGGUACUUGAGGAGGAAGCCCCGGCUAACUACGUGCCAGCCGCCGCCGUAA